AUACGUAGGGGGCGAGCGUUGUCCGGAAUGAUUGGGCGUAAAGGGCGCGUAGGCGGCCCGGUAAGUCUGGAGUGAAAGUCCUGUUUUUAAGAUGGGAAUUGCUUUGGAUACUGUCGGGCUUGAGUGCAGGAGAGGGAAGUGGAAUUCCCAGUGUAGCGGUGAAAUGCGUAGAGAUUGGGAGGAACACCAGUGGUGAAGGCGACUUACUGGACUGUAACUGACGCUGAGGCGCGAAAGUGUGGGGAGCAAACAGGAUUAGAUACCCUGGUAGUCCACACUGUAAGCGAUGAAUGCUAGGUGUAGGGGGUAUCGACCCCUUCUGUGCCGCAGUCAACACAAUAAGCAUUCCGCCUGGGGAGUACGGCCGCAAGGUUGAAACUCAAAGGAAUUGACGGGG
rnacentral:rRNA from 1 species